rnacentral:rRNA from 1 species
CGCUGGCGGCAGGCCUAACACAUGCAAGUCGAACGGAGUUAUAUUGUAGCUUGCUAUGGUAUAACUUAGUGGCAGACGGGUGAGUAAUAUAUAGGAAUCUACCUAGUAGUAUGGAAUAAUUGUUGGAAACGACAACUAAUACCAUAUACGCCCUACGGGGGAAAGAUUUAUUGCUAUUAGAUGAGCCUAUAUUAGAUUAGCUAGUUGGUGGGGUAAUGGCCUACCAAGGCAAUGACCUAUAGUUGAUCUGAGAGGAUGAUCAGCCACACUGGAACUGAGAUACGGUCCAGACUCCUACGGGAGGCAGCAGUGGGGAAUAUUGGACAAUGGGCGAAAGCCUGAUCCAGCCAUGCCGCAUGAGUGAAGAAGGCCUUCGGGUUGUAAAGCUCUUUUGGUGAGGAAGAUAAUGACGGUACUCACAGAAGAAGUCCUGGCUAACUCCGUGCCAGCAGCCGCGGUAAUACGGAGAGGGCUAGCGUUAUUCGGAAUCAUUGGGCGUAAAGGGCGCGUAGGCGGGUUAGUAAGUUAAAAGUGAAAUCCCAAGGCUCAACCUUGGAACUGCUUUUAAAACUGCUAAUCUAGAGAUUGA